rnacentral:misc_RNA from 1 species
GUCACAUUCUUCCACAAUGGCAACUAGGAAAGUACCUUUUUGAUCGUAAGGUAGCAAGCUUAUUCGACUUUUAAGCAUAUAGCAUCUGCGAGGAGAUGGCAGCAGACCAUGAAAUUGCAACAACUACGUUGCAUAACCAGAAUAACCUACCAUCAAUUUAGGUCCAGUAGCAACAUACCAAAAAUCGAAAAUGACAGAGGCAGCAAAAUGAAGGAAUAUCUACUUAAUAAUUCUAUCGCGAAAUCUAUAUUCCUUCAUCAAUAUAACUUGCGAUUGUCUCAGCAUGGGAAACAUGUUUUUCUCAGUUAAGUUUGUACUACGGCUGGAAGCAAGCAACACAUCCACAGCAAACCGUUUCUCCAGGUGCCUUUCCCAACAGUAGUAGGACGUGUACGACACUCAUCACUGACUGGCACCACGAGCU